AUGCAUCGCGAGUCUCCUCUUCCUCCUCCAAUCCCUCCUCUUCGCACUUCGUCCUUUCCUCUUGUUCUUGUCUUCCCUCCGCCAAUUCCAGGGAGUUCUAGCAAACGUGCCCUCGGGUGAAUCGGGAGCGGUGGCGGGGAGAGGAGAUGAUCACUCGAGCGAAGCUGGUGGAGCAGCUGAGAGAGCACCAGAUCCGGUCGGCCCAGUCCUACUCUGCCGCCCUCGCCGUCUUCUCGCCCAACCCUCACAUCGCCUCCAGGCGGGAUCUCAAGGUUGCUCUCUUCUAUGCCAUCUUCUUUUGUUUUCUUAUGGUAUCCUGCUAUGUUGCCCUUUACUUGAGAUGGUUCAGACUUUCAGCCAUCUUUGUAUCUUUUGGCAUCUUCCUUCCAGUAAGUCUCAAAAUAUCUAGGCAUAGAAGGCUGAAGAGGAAAAGAGAAAGGAGAUUGUUGUUACCUUUGUCGAUGUGAAUAUCUUUUUGAUAUCUUGUAACAUUUUAGUAAAAACUCCACAACUGCAAAUAGGAAAUUACCUGCUUUACUCAAUUUACAGGCAGCUCA